rnacentral:lncRNA from 12 species
GACGGUCAGCACAAAGAGAUUCGCAAAAGUGUUGCUUUUUGCAUUUGUGACUUUGACUCAGCAUCAGCUGUAGCUUUGAGUGCAGCAGCUGGCAUGUUUACAAGCAAUUCAGAGAAGCAAUGUGCUUCCUUUCAGAUGCAUUUGUCAGCUAGGAUAUAUGUGAAGAUGUAUCUUUUUCAGCUGUUACCUGGAGAGAAUUUUGCCCUAGCUGAGCACAAUUUCAAAUUUUGAACCCAACUCCAUCAAAGCUGAAGUAACAGCCUG